CGAAGGGGGCUAGCGUUGUUCGGAACUUACUGGGCGUAAAGCGCGUGUAGGCGGUUGUUCAAGUCGGGUGUGAAAGCCUUGAGCUCAACUCAAGAAAUGCACUCGAUACUGAAUGACUAGAGGACCGGAGAGGAUAGUGGAAUUCCCAGUGUAGUGGUGAAAUACGUAGAGAUUGGGAAGAACACCAGUGGCGAAGGCGGCUAUCUGGACGGUUUCUGACGCUGAGACGCGAAAGCGUGGGGAGCAAACAGGAUUAGAUACCCUGGUAGUCCACGCCGUAAACGAUGGGUGCUAGACGUUGGCGAGCUUGCUCGUCAGUGUCGCAGCUAACGCGUUAAGCACCCCGCCUGGGGAUACGGCCGCAAGGUUG
rnacentral:rRNA from 1 species